UCAUCCAUCGUGUUAGUCUUGCUUCCUCUGUUACGUACAAGGUAAGUGCACGAAAUUGAGUUGGGGUUGUCUCGAAACUUUCGACAUAAUUUUGACAAUAGGUUGAUCUUAGCGAUAUAUUGAGAAUGAUGGUGUAAUCGAUUAUUAGAUGGUCGUGUUAGGUUCUGAAAUCCUCUUACGUCAUUUCUGCAUCAAAAUCACUUCAGGUGUGUGCCGAAAACCUUAUUUUUAUGAAUUUCGAUCGCCGAAAAAUAUGGCUGUCGACGCGACACGGCCGUGCGGGUGGCCGUGUAACUCACUGUUUAUCGAUUUGGGGCUACACAAGCAUCUAUCCAGGCCGUGUGUGGUCAUGUUAGUGCAGGGUUCACACGGUCAAGGACACGAACGUGUGUCUAGGCUGUGUAGCUUUCUGUUUGUGACUUAAGACCACAUGGCCAGGGACAUGGGCGUGUUCCCAGAUCAUGUGAGUCACACAGCCGAGGACACAGGUGAGUGUCUAGGCUGUGUAACAUUUUUUAUGCUUUAGAACCACACGGGUAGAGGACAUGAGCAUGUGCGUAGGCCGUGUGAGCCAUACGGGUAAGGACAUAGGUGUGUGUCCAGGCUGUGUGGCAUAUAAAUAGGGCUCGAAACCUAUUUUUGGGGUCGUGUGUGUUGCCCAACAUUGAUAUUGACUUCCCCAGUGUAUGAAUGAUUUGAAUUUUAUCAUACGAGAACUCUCUGAUACUCUGUGACUGAAGUAUGAAUAACAUAACUAUAUGUGUGCUGUAAUACUUAUUCUGAUAUUGGACUAUAUUCUCUACUUGUGAAACAAUUUAGAAUGACUGAAUACAUAUUGUGAAUAUUUGUACUUUGUAUUUGCAUGGGUUGAGAUAUUGUGAAGAAGGAAGUAAUAUGCUCUAAAUUAGUGGCUAAGCCACCAUGCAUAUAAAUCUGAUUCUGGUGCUUUGGCGCUUUUCGAUCUAACAGCUAAGCUACGUCUCUGUAAAUGUUUCAGACAGACACUCUAUGGUGUGUAGAGUUAGUUGGGCAUUGAAUGCCCUUAAUUGUGUGUUAGGAUGGCUGAAGACAGUGUGUAGCAGAUGAGGGUAGCAAUAUUUGCAUCUCAAUAUGAUCUGUUCUGUAUAUGAAACUGAAAUUGCUUCUGUAAAUGUAAUUAAUCUAUCCUGAAUCUGAACUGAAAUUGCUUCUGUUAUUAAGCCAAAUCUUUGAAUAUGGAAACUAUCUUAUUAAUGUGUUCUAAUUGAACAAAUUGCUUUUACUCAUUAAGUUCACAACUCACUUUGUUAUUGAUUGGAUUUCACGUGGUUCUCAGAUUUGAACUGGUCGGCGCCGUGGAACGGUCAAGCUUUUAUCUUUUUUUUUAAAUACUACUAGUAGGAAAUUUGGUAUUCUAUGAUAUUGUAAAGUUUGGAAAGUUUGCAUAUUUAGUUAAUUGCUGUGUUGGAUACUAUGUGAUGAAUGGUUUGUUUUGAUUGCGUUAUAAAUGUGGUGUUUUUAAUAUCAUUGAUGUAACUCUCUAGACUUGGUCUGGACGUCUAGGCCGGGUUUAGGGUGCUACAGUCGGCAAGUUUUCAUACUUAAACGAAAGCCAAACCUUUUUCUUACUAUCAGCUAAAAUGAAUAUGCCCC
rnacentral:lncRNA from 1 species